GCGAACGCUGGCGGCAGGCCUAACACAUGCAAGUCGAACGGACCCUUCGGGGUUAGUGGCGGACGGGUGAGUAACACGUGGGAACGUGCCUUUAGGUUCGGAAUAGCUCCUGGAAACGGGUGGUAAUGCCGAAUGUGCCCUUCGGGGGAAAGAUUUAUCGCCUUUAGAGCGGCCCGCGUCUGAUUAGCUUGUUGGUGGGGUAAUGGCCCACCAAGGCUACGAUCAGUAGCUGGUCUGAGAGGAUGACCAGCCACAUUGGGACUGAGACACGGCCCAAACUCCUACGGGAGGCAGCAGUGGGGAAUCUUGCGCAAUGGGCGAAAGCCUGACGCAGCCAUGCCGCGUGUAUGAUGAAGGUCUUAGGAUUGUAAAAUACUUUCACCGGUGAAGAUAAUGACUGUAGCCGGAGAAGAAGCCCCGGCUAACUUCGUGCCAGCAGCCGCGGUAAU
rnacentral:rRNA from 1 species